rnacentral:rRNA from 1 species
GAUGAACGCUGGCGGCGUGCCUAAUACAUGCAAGUCGAGCGGACGGACGAGAAGCUUGCUUCUCUGAUGUUAGCGGCGGACGGGUGAGUCAUACGUGGAUAACCUACCUAUUUGAGUUGGAUACAUUCGAGUAACCGGAGCUCAUACCGGAUGAUCUUUUUAACCGCAUGGUUUAAAAGUGAAAGGCCGUCUUGCUGUCACCUCUAGAUGUAUCCGCGCUGUAUUAGCUAGUUGGUAAGGUAACGGCUUACCAAGGAGACGAUGUAUGGCCGACGUGAGAGGGUGAUGGCCCACACUGGAACUGAGACGCGGUCCAGACUCCUACGGGAGGCAGAAGUAGGGAAGCGACCGCGAUGGGCGGAAGCCUGACGGAGCAACGGCGCGUGAGUGAUGAAGGGCUGCGGGUCGUAUAACUCUGUUAUUAGGGAAGAACAUAUGUGUAAGUAACGGAGCACAGCGUGACGGUACUUAGUCAGAAAGCAACGGCUAACUACGUG